UGCAGUAUUCAUUCCUCUCCCGGUCUCAGUUCUCUCCCUGCGGCAGUCAAAACCAGAGGCGGCCCAGCAGGCGGCAGUCAGGUUCGAUGAAAUCCAGACAGAGAGCAGGCCAUGUGCUCGCUACUUUCUUCUCGUAAGGGCGGCGGCAGGAGCGGCCCCACCCACUGAUGGCGCCGGGUCCGCCCACGGUUUGCUUCACCACCCUCCUUCCCCUUCCCCACCCGUGAAUGAAGACCUAAUCCUUCUAGACGAAGGAGACCGUCUCUUCGCCACGAAGGAGCGACCUGUUCAACUUAUCCAUCCCCACAUCCUUACGCUGGAAGAGCGAGAGCGAG
rnacentral:lncRNA from 1 species